AGAACGAACGCUGGCGGCGUGGAUAAGACAUGCAAGUCGAACGGGUUUAGUUUCGGAGCAAUUCGGAAUUAGGCCAGUGGCGAACGGGUGCGUAACACGUGAGUCAUCUGCCUGAAAGUGGGGGAUAGCUCGCCGAAAGGCGAAUUAAUACCGCAUGUGGUUGUAAGACCAAAGCCGGGGCAACCUGGCGCUUUUAGAGGAACUCGCGGCCUAUCAGCUUGUUGGUGAGGUAACGGCUUACCAAGGCUUCGACGGGUAGCUGGUCUGAGAGGACGACCAGCCACACUGGAACUGAGACACGGUCCAGACACCUACGGGUGGCAGCAGUCGAGAAUUUUUUCUCAAUGGGGGAAACCCUGAAGGAGCGACGCCGCGUGGAGGAUGAAUGCUUUCGGGUUGUAAACUCCUGUCAUUUGGGAACAAAGCCUUACGUUAACUGCGUGGAGGUUUGAUAGUACCGAAAGAGGAAGAGACGGCUAACUCUGUGCCAGCAGCCGCGGU
rnacentral:rRNA from 1 species